rnacentral:rRNA from 1 species
GACGAACGCUGGCGGCGUGCCUAAUACAUGCAAGUUGAACGCUGAAGACUGGUACUUGUACCAGUUGGAUGAGUAGCGAACGGGUGAGUAACGCGUGGGUAACCUACCUCUUAGCGGGGGACAACUAUUGGAAACGAUAGCUAAUACCGCAUAACAAUACUUAACACAUGUUAAGUAUUUGAAAGCACCAAUUGGUGCACUAAGAGAUGGACCCGCGUUGUAUUAGCUAGUUGGUAGUGUAAUGGACUACCAAGGCGAUGAUACAUAGCCGACCUGAGAGGGUGAUCGGCCACAUUGGGACUGAGACACGGCCCAAACUCCUACGGGAGGCAGCAGUAGGGAAUCUUCGGCAAUGGACGAAAGUCUGACCGAGCAACGCCGCGUGAGUGAAGAAGGUUUUCGGAUCGUAAAACUCUGUUGUUAGAGAAGAACGUCAGUGAGAGUGGAAAGUUCACUGAGUGACGGUAUCUAACCAGAAAGGGACGGCUAACUACGUGCCAGCAGCCGCGGUAAUACGUAGGUCCCGAGCGUUGUCCGGAUUUAUUGGGCGUAAAGCGAGCGCAGGUGGUUUAAUAAGUCUGAUGUAAAAGGCAGUGGCUCAACCAUUGUGUGCAUUGGAAACUGUUAGACUUGAGUGCAGUAGAGGAGAGUGGAAUUCCAUGUGUAGCGGUGAAAUGCGUAGAUAUAUGGAGGAACACCGGUGGCGAAAGCGGCUCUCUGGACUGUAACUGACACUGAGGCUCGAAAGCGUGGGUAGCAAACAGGAUWAGAUACCCUGGUAGUCC